CUCUAAUAUCUCUAUAUUGCAGACUCAAGUCUCAUCUGUCUGAAGGAAGUGAUCCAUGCAUCAGUCUAUCUGAAUCAAUCACCAUCUUCCUGAUGAUCCUACGAUCGAAAAUAAUUUAGGAAUUAACCACCAAUGACACAUGCCUAAAAUUUUAAACUCUUUGAGAAUAUAUGUCACCAUCUUGUUAAUUUCUUAAACGAUUCAUGGACACAUACAACAUGAAUAAAAAUAAACUAUCCGUCAAGUACAAAAUCAUGUCCUAAAAAUAUGAUAUGCGUAAGGAG
rnacentral:lncRNA from 1 species